GGUGCUUGCACCGGGUGAUCAGUGGCGAACGGGUGAGUAACACGUGAGUAACCUGCCCCCGACUCUGGGAUAACCCCGGGAAAUCGGAGCUAAUACCGGAUACGAGACGCACAGGCAUCUGUAGCGUCUGGAAAGAAUUUCGGUCGGGGAUGGACUCGCGGCCUAUCAGCUUGUUGGUGGGGUAACGGCCCACCAAGGCGACGACGGGUAGCCGGCCUGAGAGGGCGACCGGCCACACUGGGACUGAGACACGGCCCAGACUCCUACGGGAGGCAGCAGUGGGGAAUAUUGCACAAUGGGCGCAAGCCUGAUGCAGCGACGCCGCGUGGGGGAUGAAGGCCUUCGGGUUGUAAACCCCUUUCAGCAGGGAAGAAGCGAAAGUGACGGUACCUGCAGAAGAAGCGCCGGCUAACUACGUGCCAGCAGCCGCGGUAAUACGUAGGGCGCAAGCGUUGUCCGGAAUUAUUGGGCGUAAAGAGCUCGUAGGCGGUUUGUCGCGUCUGCUGUGAAAACCCGAGGCUCAACCUCGGGCCUGCAGUGGGUACGGGCAGACUAGAGUGCGGUAGGGGAGACUGGAAUUCCUGGUGUAGCGGUGGAAUGCGCAGAUAUCA
rnacentral:rRNA from 1 species